CUUCUUGACGCGGCGGCUGGCCACCCCCGAUCGACCUGGCGAGAGGUAAGACCGGGAUUUUAGAUCCGACAGGUAGAAGGAUCACGGAGGAUCAUCCUCCACUAAGUUGGGAUAAAGGUUUUAUGGGUUAUGUUAAUAGGUUACCAAUAUGUGUUGUCAUGACCUGUUUUCUUUCCUCCCCUACCCCGGCCCACGAUUCCGCUGAGACAAGGCACAUUCGGCAACCACCCCGGGGGGACCGCCGGGCGGCGCACGACAACAAGGCGGAAGCUCCGGAUUAUGCACCCACAAGGCAAAGAGGCACAAGGUACACUAGCACACCACUCGCAUUAUCACAUGGCACUUAAAAUUACAUCACUCAACGUAAACGG